CUGCGAAUGGCUCAUUAAAUCAGUUAUCGUUUAUUUGAUAGUACCUUACUACUUGGAUACCCGUGGUAAUUCUAGAGCUAAUACAUGCAAAAAACCCCGACUUCGGGAGGGGUGUAUUUAUUAGAUAAAAAACCAAUGCCCUUCGGGGCUCUUUGGUGAUUCAUGAUAACUUAACGGAUCGCAUGGCCUUGCGCCGGCGACGGUUCAUUCAAAUUUCUGCCCUAUCAACUUUCGAUGGUAAGGUAUUGGCUUACCAUGGUUUCAACGGGUAACGGAUUUUUAGGGAAAGAUCCCGGAGAGGGAGCCUGAGAAACGGCUACCACAUCCAAGGAAGGCAGCAGGCGCGCAAAUUACCCAAUCCCGACACGGGGAGGUAGUGACAAUAAAUACUGAUACAGGGCUCUUUUGGGUCUUGUAAUCGGAAUGAGUACAAUUUAAAUACCUUAACGAGGAACAAUUGGAGGGCAAGUCUGGUGCCAGCAGCCGCGGUAAUUCCAGCUCCAAUAGCGUAUAUUAAAGUUGUUGCAGUUAAAAAGCUCGUAGUUGAAACUUGGGCCUGGCUGGCCGGUCCGCCUCACCGCGUGUACUGGUCCGGCCGGGCCUUUCCUUCUGGAGAACCGCAUGCCCUUCACUGGGUGUGCCGGGGAACCAGGACUUUUACUUUGAGAAAAUUAGAGUGUUCAAAGCAGGCCUUUGCUCGAAUACGUUAGCAUGGAAUAAUAGAAUAGGACGUGCGGUCCUAUUUUGUUGGUUUCUAGAACCGCCGUAAUGAUUAAUAGGGAUAGUCGGGGGCGUCAGUAUUCAAUUGUCAGAGGUGAAAUUCUUGGAUCUAUUGAAGACUAACUACUGCGAAAGCAUUCGCCAAGGAUGUUUUCAUUAAUCAGUGAACGAAAGUUAGGGGAUCGAAGACGAUCAGAUACCGUCGUAGUCUUAACCGUAAACUAUGCCGACUAGGGAUCGGGCGAUGUUUCUAUAUUGACUCGCUCGGCACCUUACGAGAAAUCAUAAGUUUUUGGGUUCUGGGGGGAGUAUGGUCGCAAGGCUGAAAC
rnacentral:rRNA from 1 species